CGAAUCUUCCGCAAUGCGCGAAAGCGUGACGGAGCGAUGCCGCGUGCAGGAUGCAGCCCUUCGGGGUGUACACUGCUGUCAGGGAUUAGAAACACAAUGAUCCAUCCCAAAGGAAGAGACGACUAACUCUGUGCCAGCAGUCGCGGUAAUACAGAGGUCUCGAGCGUUAGUCGGAAUCACUGGGCUUAAAGCGUACGUAGGCGGACAUGCAGGCGUCGUGUGAAAUCCCGCGGCUCAACCGGGGAACUGCACGGCGAACCGCAUGUCUUGAGAUCGGUAGGGGCGGUCGGAACGAUAGGUGGAGUGGUGAAAUGCGUUGAUAUCUAUCGGAACGCCGAAGGUGAAGACAGGCCGCUGGGCCGACUCUGACGCUGAGGUACGAAAGCGUGGGUAGCGAA
rnacentral:rRNA from 1 species